UGCGUAGGCGGUUAGUUAAGUCUGUUGUGAAAUCCCCGGGCUCAAUCUGGGAAUGGCAAUGGAUACUGGCAAGCUAGAGUGUGUCAGAGGAUGGUGGAAUUUCCGGUGUAGCGGUGAAAUGCGUAGAGAUCGGAAGGAACAUCAGUGGCGAAGGCGGCCAUCUGGGACAACACUGACGCUGAAGCACGAAAGCGUGGGGGAGCAAACA
rnacentral:rRNA from 1 species